rnacentral:misc_RNA from 1 species
GAUGAAGAACGUAGCGAAAUGCGAUAAGUAAUGUGAAAUGCAGAAUUCAGUGAAUCAUCGAAUCUUUGAACGCACCUUGCGCCUUUUGGUAUUCCGAAAGGCACACCUGUUUGAGCGUCAUGAAUACCUCAAUCUCCAUCUUUUCUUCGGAUUGAUGGGUGACUUGGAUGUUGAGCCCUGCUGGUAUGCUAUAUCAGCUGGCUUUAAACUUAUUAGCCGUCUCUGUACUGGAUCGGUUUGACUCGACGUGAUAAUAUUAUCGUUGAGGAUGCAUGUCUCAUGCAGCCGGAAAGUAUCAAAGCAGCUUCUAGCUUGCCUUUAGUGCACUUUUACAUUUUAGACCUCAGAUCAGGUGGGACUACCCGCUGAACUUAAGCAUAUCAAUAAGCGGAGGA